rnacentral:rRNA from 1 species
UACAGAGGUGCCGAGCGUUAGGCGGAAUCACUGGGCUUAAAGCGUGUGUAGGCGGAUGCCUAAGUACCUUGUGAAAUCCCACGGCUUAACCGUGGAACUGCUCGGUAUACUGGGUGUCUUGAGCCACUUAGGGGCUACCGGAACAAAUGGUGGAGCGGUGAAAUGCGUAGAUAUCAUUUGGAACGCCAAUGGUGAAAACAGGUAGCUGGGAGUGUGCUGACGCUGAGACACGAAAGCCAGGGGAGCAAACGGG